CCGGCUUUGGAUAAGGAG
rnacentral:miRNA from 1 species